rnacentral:misc_RNA from 1 species
GAUGAAGAACGUAGUGAAAUGCGAUAAGUAAUGUGAAUUGCAGAAUUCAGUGAAUCAUCGAAUCUUUGAACGCACAUUGCGCCCGCCAGUAUUCUGGCGGGCAUGCCUGUUCGAGCGUCAUUUCCACCAUCAGGCCCCCGGGCCUGUGUUGGGGACCUGCGGCUGCCCGCAGGCCCCGAAAUUCAGUGGCGGUCGCGCCGUAGCAACCGAGCGUAGUAACUAAAACGUCUCGCUCUGGCUCGCUGGGCGCGCUCCGGCCGUAAAACACCCCCCCUUUUCGCAAAGGUUGACCUCGGAUCAGGUAGGAAUACCCGCUGAACUUAAGCAUAUCAAUAAGCGGAGGA